rnacentral:rRNA from 1 species
AGCAAACGCUGGCGGCGUGCCUAAUACAUGCAAGUCGAACGGGGAAAGUAGCAAUACGAGUACUAGUGGCGCACGGGUGAGGAACACGUGGGUAAUCUGCCUUCGAGCGGGGGAUAACUAGCCGAAAGAUUAGCUAAUACCGCAUAAGACCACAAUGUCUGCGGACAAAGGGGGUCAAAGUCGCAAGACACUUGAAGAUGAGCCCGCGUAAGAUUAGCUAGUUGGUGAGGUAAUGGCUCACCAAGGCGAUGAUCUUUAGCUGGUCUGAGAGGAUGAUCAGCCACACUGGAACUGAGACACGGUCCAGACUCCUACGGGAGGCAGCAGUAGGGAAUAUUGCGCAAUGGGGGAAACCCUGACGCAGCGACGCCGCGUGAGUGAUGAAGGCCUUCGGGUCGUAAAGCUCUGUUAUAUGGGAAUAAGAUCUGAAUGUACCAUGUGAGAAAGGAUCGGCUAACUUCGUGCCAGCCGCCGCUGUAA